rnacentral:Y_RNA from 1 species
UGCUAGCCAGUGCAGUGGUGUUUAUAAGUAAUUGAUCACAACGAAUUACAGAUUUCUUUGUUCCUUCUCCACUCCCACUGUCUCACUUAAAUAGCCAAAA